rnacentral:rRNA from 1 species
AGCUCCAAUAGCGUAUAUUAAAGUUGUUGCAGUUAAAAAGCUCGUAGUUGGAUUUCUGGUUUAGUGCGCUUGACCCGCCGCCGUUAGGCGUGUGAGUGUCGAUGCGCGCUUACCAUCCUUCUAGAGAACGUUUCUGCCCUUUACUGGGUUGGACUCGCAAUCUAGAACUUUUACUUUGAAAAAAUUAGAGUGUUUAAAGCAGGCUCGCGCUAUGAAUACACUAGCAUGGAAUAAUAACUUAGGACUUUAGUCUUAUUUUGUUGGUUUCUAGGACUGAAGUAAUGAUUGAUAGGGAUAGUUGGGGGUGCUAGUAUUGCGUGGCCAGGGGUGAAAUCCUCGGAUUCCCGCAAGACUAACUUAUGCGAAAGCAUUCACCAAGGAUGUCUUCUUUA